AUGGCGAGCAAAGUGUUUCCGGCAAUGCUGUUGCUCAUUGCGGUGACAAUGGCCGGACUGGCCGCCGGGGCGCGCGCGGGCGGCAUCGCGAUCUACUGGGGCCAGAACGGCAACGAGGGCACGCUGGCGCAGGCGUGCGCGACGGGGAACUACAAGUUCGUCAACGUGGCCUUCCUCUUCACCUUCGGGAGGGGCCAGAAGCCGCUGCUGAACCUGGCCGGGCACUGCGACCCGGCGACCAGCGGCUCGUGCACCUUCGUGGGCGCCGACGUCAAGGCCUGCCAGAGCCGCGGCAUCAAGGUUCUGCUCUCCAUCGGCGGUGGCGUCGGCAGCUACGGCCUCUCGUCCGCCGCCGACGCCAAGCAGGUCGCCGAGUACCUCUGGGACAACUACCUCGGCGGCACGUCGACGACGAGGCCCCUCGGCGACGCGGUGCUGGACGGCGUCGACUUCGACAUCGAGAGCGGCGGGAGCGCGCACUGGGACGACCUGGCGCGGGAGCUCAAGAAGUACUCCGGGAAGGGGAGCGCCUACAAGCCGGUGUACCUGGCGGCGGCGCCGCAGUGCCCGUUCCCGGACGCGAUGCUCGGCGGGCUCGGCGGCGCGCUCGGCACGGGGCUCUUCGACUACGUGUGGGUGCAGUUCUACAACAACCCGCCGUGCCAGUACACCAAGGCCGGCGGGGCGGGCAACCUGGCGAGCGCGUGGCAGAAGUGGGCGUCGAUACCGGCGCGCCAGGUGUUCCUGGGGCUCCCGGCGGCGCCCGCGGCCGCCGGCAGCGGGUUCGUGGAGCCGAGCGACCUGGUGUCCGAGGUGCUGCCGGUGGUGCAGAAGUCGCCGAAGUACGGCGGGAUCAUGCUGUGGUCGAGGUUCUUCGAUGGGCAGACGGGGUUCAGCGAUAAGGUCAAGUCCAGCGUGUGA
rnacentral:rRNA from 1 species